rnacentral:tRNA from 1 species
GCGCCCGUAGCUCAGUUGGAUUAGAGCGUAUGGUUCCGGUCCAUAAGGUCACAGGUUCGAGUCCUGUCGGGCGUA